rnacentral:rRNA from 1 species
AUGAACGCUGGCGGCGUGCCUAAUACAUGCAAGUCGAGCGAACAGAUCAGGAGCUUGCUCCUUUGACGUUAGCGGCGGACGGGUGAGUAACACGUGGGUAACCUACCUAUAAGACUGGGAUAACUUCGGGAAACCGGAGCUAAUACCGGAUAAUAUUUCGAACCGCAUGGUUCGAUAGUGAAAGAUGGUUUUGCUAUCACUUAUAGAUGGACCCGCGCCGUAUUAGCUAGUUGGUAAGGUAACGGCUUACCAAGGCGACGAUACGUAGCCGACCUGAGAGGGUGAUCGGCCACACUGGAACUGAGACACGGUCCAGACUCCUACGGGAGGCAGCAGUAGGGAAUCUUCCGCAAUGGGCGAAAGCCUGACGGAGCAACGCCGCGUGAGUGAUGAAGGUCUUCGGAUCGUAAAACUCUGUUAUUAGGGAAGAACAUACGUGUAAGUAACUGUGCACGUCUUGACGGUACCUAAUCAGAAAGCCACGGCUAACUACGUG